GCCAAGAGGCAGACCCAGGUGGAGAAGGGACGACGGGUCGUGGCCAGCGCUGCGCAGCGUGGGAACCAGCUGAGAGCGCCGCUGGGCCGGAGCUCGGGGAGGGGGCGCCGCGCCGAGCUCACCGCAAGGUUCCACCCCUCGGCGGGCGCAGACAAUGGGGUCGCUGUGCCGGGCCGCCCCCUCCCCUUGCUCGGCGGCCCGCGUCCGCCCCCUCUCCCCAAAGCUGCUUUCAAUUUAAACGCCUCCAACCAGCGGGCGCUGCCCCGGGGGGCGCGACCGCAGCGCCGAGCGCCCCUGUAAUUUCCGCAGGGAGCUGACCGGCUCAAACGCGGCACCGCGGUGCCCCGACCGCAGGCCCCGAGACCGGAGACGGCGCCCAGACUGCCUUGCCCGGGUCGUGGGAGCGCCACCGGGGCGGCCUCCUCAGCGCCCAGCCAGGCCCUGCCGCCUCCUCCAGGCAGCCCGCCGCCACCGGGAGCCGCUCCUCCAGGAAGGCUGAGUGCCUUCCCCACACCGCUGCUGCCUCGCGGUUCCUCCCACCUCCGAAAGCCCAGCUCCCUUGUGGGGAAGAGGGACAGGGGAGGAGGCCAGGUCGGGGUUGUCCAUUCUGUUUGUGCAUCAAGUCUUCCGCAUCAGACUACAGGCUCCCUGAGGGCAGGGGUUGUGAGGGGAGGUACGAACUCGGGCAGUGCUGGGGAGCUCCCUGAGGGCAGCGUUCGGGUGUCCCUAAAAGGGAGCGAGUGAAAUGACGUCUGUAAGCGUGGCAGACUGGUGCUCAGACCUAGAGCAAGCUUUAAAAAAAUUUUUUUUUCAGGGAAUACUGCUAUUGAUUACACAAUAGUUUCUCUAAGGUAAGGCUGGAGAGGAAGCAGUCACUGUUCUUCCCUCACUCUACCAGUGCCUGCCUGGCUCACAGCUCUCUUCCCCAGAACAGUCGAGAAAGGAGGGGACACUUUCCCCCUUGCUGGGUCUCCUCACCUCAGGAGCCCUUCCUGGAAUAUGAGUCUGGGGGAAUGCGAGGGUUCCAUUGGCAGGUGAGAAAGAAGGGGCCCCAGCUUCUUAGCUCCCAGGGAAGGCCCUAGGCUGGAUUGUCUCAAGGAGCGGGUGGGUGAGGGCAGGACGCCGGUGGACAAGGGCAAAGCUGUCUGCAGAUCCCUCAGCUCUGCAGGGACACAGCAGAGUCAGCGGCUGGACACCAGGAACUGUCUGAGCUGCCAGCAAGGGGGCUCCAGGGUGGGCGUUGCGUUGUGCCAGUAGACAUGCCUGCCACAGCCCCUUUCCCAACUGAAGCGUUUGUUCUGUUCACUGUUCCCCGCUCCCCUCUGCCUAGAAGCUGCGCCUAGCCAUCCUCCCUCCCAGGAACUGCAGCGGGUGAGAGGUUGCAUUUUGAGCUAAUACCCUUGGCCUGGCUGUUGUGGUGAAGCUAAUCAGAGGUAAUUAUGGGGGAAGGAGGGAUCCUGAGAGGGACCCCACAGAGACCACCUCAUCCGCCCCAGCCCAGCCCUGGUGGCCCUGGCCUCCAGGGCCUAGGACAGCUCAGCCUUGCCUGGUGAGAGUGAACCCACCAACACCCCACCCCAUGGUCCUCUCUCUUCCGCCCACUCCCCAUUCCCACAGCUGCAGGUAAGGUUCACACAUCUAGGUUUUCCUCAGUCUCCCCAAAGCUGCUCCAUAUGCACUCAUUCAUUUCAGAUUUACUGGGCACCUCCUCUAAGCCAAAGCCCACACUGGGCACCUGACAAAAACUGGUCCCUACCCUCAUGGAGCAGCUGCUAGGAUUUUGGUCAGGGUAGACUUUGCAGGGACUGGGGGCAUAGCCUUGGAAAGGCAGAGGGUCCCUGCAGAAUCACAAGCCCCUUUAGGGGAGGGCCUCCCUUCUACCACCUUGCUGAUGCCAGAGGAGUGGAGCUUGCCAGCCCAGAGCUUCUCCACUUCCACCACUCCUAGCCUGUCAUGGCGCCCAUCCUCCCUCCCACCCAGUGUUGACGGGUGUCAGGCCACUCCCUGCUCUGUCUCCCUGUCCUGACCACCUGUCCUCCUCCCGCAGCUUCCUCCAUCCACUUGGGAUCCCCCUGCUUUUCUACUGGGGUGGGAAGGGGGUCUCUCUGCAGUGCAGAGAGGCUGGAUUGAGAGCAGCACCUCUCAGUCACCUCCUUGGGGUUCGAGGCCCCAAGCUGGGAGAGCCCUUAGAGACCAAGGAGAUCGGCUCUCUCUCACACCCUAGGAAAUUGAGGCCCAACGGGAUGGGGAGUCCAAGCAGUCAGGGUCAGCGGAAUUAAACCCCAGUCUCUGACUCCCAGUCCAGUGCUCCUUCUGGGGAGUCCUCCCUGAGCCUGCUUCUGGAGGACAGAGUCCAGGCCUGCUCCUUCUCCCAUCCCCUCACUGUGCCCAGAAGGAGAGAGGAGCAAACAGGGGUCCCCACCAUCCUGCUUUUCUGUCCUGCCCCACUAGCCUGGGCCCAGAGACAAGGCUGUGGGGUGGGAGGGACCGCAGGGGGCUUCGUUGAGGGUCUCUAAUUUCCUCCUGCUCCUUGAUGUCCAGAGGAAAACAGGCCUCCUCUGCCCAAGAGAUUUCCAAGCAUAAACAGAGGUCAGCGCCCCCCUUGCCCCGGAGGUGCCAAGGUGGUAAUUAGGCUUGGGGGUGCAUCCUGGAAGGGUGGGGGUAGGGCGGCCAUUAUCCUGGGGAGCUGCGCUGGGCAGAGGAGCUGUGUGGUCUGGGCAAAUGGGUGGUUUGUAGGUGGUCUGGGGAAUGAAUGACUGAGUGUUUGGGAGGGAAGCUUUCGGGAGGGAGGUGGAGGGGGAGGGAGCAGAGGGAUUGGAGAGUAGAGCCUGGAGUCUUCCCCCCAAUUCACUGGUCUGAGCCCUUGCUCUCAUUCUGGAGGCAUCACUCUGAGACAUAUAGGGUGGGGGGUGGUCUUGGGGAUGCCGCCUGGACAGUGGAACACCUGGAGCGCUGUAGCAGGGAGCAGGCUCUCUGCUGAGAUCAGGGGCUCUGGAGAGUCACCAUCUCCCCACCUGCUCCCUCAGCUUCUGGAAGGGUGCAGGGAGGAGGCGGGUGGAGGUGGUUCUUGCACAGGGUCCCUGGCAUGCUGCGGAGUGCUGGCUAAAGCACUCCGGUGCUGAGCCUGCUCCCGCUUUGUCCCCACUUCCAGCCGUGUCUAACCCCUCUCAUGGUAGGGACAAAUUCCUUCUGGGAUGAGAAGGACCCUUUGAUUCUCAACCCCAGGAGCUGCAGAUCCACAAGUCCCCCCGCUCUGACCCCCACAAUGCCCCAUCCACUGCUGCUCUGGGUCAGGCUGCACCAGGUACAUUGUAUCAGGGACUUCUUCACCCUGAGCCUUGGUUUCCCUACCUGUAAAAUGGGGGUAAUACAAUAUUUAAGUGUGAGGACUAAAUAAACCAGGGUCAGUGUGUGUGAAAUGGCAGUUAUGGCAAUGACUAAUGCCCCAGAAGAUGCCUGUCACGUCUGGAGGCCGGGUCUCCUCCCAGGAAUGGUUACCCGGAACCCAGGACUGGCUGUGACCCCUGGCAUAGGGACAAGGAUCAUGGCUGGCAGGAGGUGGGGUGAGUAGGUCAUGGGUAGGGGUGGGGCUGCUGGGACUGUCCAGUGGCAUCCUGCCCAGGCCCUGGGCACAUUCCUCCUCCCCCGUGCUCCCUACCUGCCGGAUGCCACCUGUGCUGCGAGUGCCACCACUCACCUGGCCUCUGCAGCAAGAGAGACUGCAGUGAGACUACCAGACACAGCUGCCCCGAGGAAAACAUUGAACUGGGGGAGUGGCCCCUAUCUGGAAAGCCUACUGGGGCAUCUUAGCCACUGACCAGCACGGAGGAGACAAGCGUCUGUGUCCUGGUUUCAUCCUGUGUCCUUAAGCAGCCUGGAAGCAUCUUCAGAACAGGGGCUGGGUUUCCACCCUCAGAUUGAGUAGUGGUUCCCAGAGGCCAGCUCCUGUGUCCCUCUGUGGCAGGAAUUGAUCCCUCACCAUCACAUCAGAUUCUUGAAGGGAGAGCUUACCCCAAGAACCUGACCCAAGGGGACCGGGCUGCAAUUUGAUAGGGAGCUGGAGGAACUGCAUGGCAUUUAGUGUAUGGGCGUGGGGGUGGGGGAAAGAAGGACACCUUCCUCCCCAAAACCUACAGUCAGUCCAGUGGAAGAGCAGUCCUGGGUGGUUGGGGGCUCCUGAUACCAGGACCACCAUCUCCCAGCAGGAAAGAAGCCCCUCCCCUGCCGUCUGGAACAGCCCUUCUCUAUGCAAACAUGGAUCACCUGGGGUUGGGGAGCAUUGAGGGGAGGCUGGCUGGGCCAAAUGGAAUGCUGGUUCGUAGGCCAGAACUCGGAGGAUUCUCUGAAGCAUCUUGGGAGGUAUGAAAUAAGAGUCACUUAGAGAGAGGACAGAGCUUUCAUGAAAGAGGAUGACUAGGAGGCUGUCUUGUCCAUCCCUUGCUUCUGUGCCAAGCCCCGCUAUUUCUCGGGAAUGUUUCCUGCUUUCAGGUCUAUUUCCAUGCUCAUUCAACGCGGAAGUCUGCAUACCUUCACCUCAAAAAUACAAACACACUUAUUAAAGACCUACUGUGCCCCAG